GCCGGUGUAGCUCAGGGGUAGAGCAUCGCACUUGUAAUGCGAGGGUCGGGGGUUCAAAUCCCUUCACCGGCU
rnacentral:tRNA from 1 species